GGGUUGUGAGGUUAAGCGACUAAGCGUACACGGUGGAUGCCCUGGCAGUCAGAGGCGAUGAAGGGCGUGCUAAUCUGCGAUAAGCGCCGGUAAGGUGAUAUGAACCGUUAUAACCGGCGAUACCCGAAUGGGGAAACCCAGUGUGAUUCGUCACACUAUCAUUAACUGAAUCCAUAGGUUAAUGAGGCGAACCGGGGGAACUGAAACAUCUAAGUACCCCGAGGAAAAGAAAUCAACCGAGAUUCCCCCAGUAGCGGCGAGCGAACGGGGAGGAGCCCAGAGCCUGAAUCAGCAUGUGUGUUAGUGGAAGCGUCUGGAAAGGCGCGCGAUACAGGGUGACAGCCCCGUACACAAAAGCGCAUAUGCUGUGAGCUCGAUGAGUAGGGCGGGACACGUGGUAUCCUGUCUGAAUAUGGGGGGACCAUCCUCCAAGGCUAAAUACUCCUGACUGACCGAUAGUGAACCAGUACCGUGAGGGAAAGGCGAAAAGAACCCCGGCGAGGGGAGUGAAAAAGAACCUGAAACCGUGUACGUACAAGCAGUGGGAGCCCCACCACUAAGCCAGUGGUGAACUCCACAUACGCAUCCUUUGCUGAGGAUACGGUUAACGGAGCGAAAGCGACGUUCAACCUCAAAAGAAGCAGAGGGGGCUUAGUGGUGGGGUGACUGCGUACCUUUUGUAUAAUGGGUCAGCGACUUAUAUUCUGUAGCAAGGUUAACCGUAUAGGGGAGCCGGAGGGAAACCGAGUCUUAAUUGGGCGUUAAGUUGCAGGGUAUAGACCCGAAACCCGGUGAUCUAGCCAUGGGCAGGUUGAAGGUUGGGUAACACUAACUGGAGGACCGAACCGACUAAUGUUGAAAAAUUAGCGGAUGACCUGUGGCUGGGGGUGAAAGGCCAAUCAAACCGGGAGAUAGCUGGUUCUCCCCGAAAGCUAUUUAGGUAGCGCCUCGUGAAUUCAUCUCCGGGGGUAGAGCACUGUUUCGGCUAGGGGGCCAUCCCGGCUUACCAACCCGAUGCAAACUGCGAAUACCGGAGAAUGUUAUCACGGGAGACACACGGCGGGUGCUAACGUCCGUCGUGAAGAGGGAAACAACCCAGACCGCCAGCUAAGGUCCCAAAGUCAUGGUUAAGUGGGAAACGAUGUGGGAAGGCCCAGACAGCCAGGAUGUUGGCUUAGAAGCAGCCAUCAUUUAAAGAAAGCGUAAUAGCUCACUGGUCGAGUCGGCCUGCGCGGAAGAUGUAACGGGGCUAAACCAUGCACCGAAGCUGCGGCAGCGACACUGUGUGUUGUUGGGUAGGGGAGCGUUCUGUAAGCCUGUGAAGGUGGCCUGUGAGGGUUGCUGGAGGUAUCAGAAGUGCGAAUGCUGACAUAAGUAACGAUAAAGCGGGUGAAAAGCCCGCUCGCCGGAAGACCAAGGGUUCCUGUCCAACGUUAAUCGGGGCAGGGUGAGUCGACCCCUAAGGCGAGGCCGAAAGGCGUAGUCGAUGGGAAACGGGUUAAUAUUCCCGUACUUGGUGUUACUGCGAAGGGGGGACGGAGAAGGCUAUGUUGGCCGGGCGACGGUUGUCCCGGUUUAAGCGUGUAGG
rnacentral:rRNA from 1 species